rnacentral:lncRNA from 1 species
UGGAGUCCAUGUGUCCAUCGCCCUAUUGCUAGAGACAGAUUCAUUUUCAUCAAAGGAAAUAAGCUUGACAAAAUGGUCAUUGAAGGCAAUGUCAGCCCCAGCACCAAAAGUGGAAGAGUGGGAGGGACGCCUGGGUGGUUCAGUCAGUUAAGCAUCCCACUUUGGCUCAGGUCUUGAUCUCGCCGUCUGUGAGUUUGAGCCCGGCGUCGGGCUCCGUGCUGACAGCUCAGAGCCUGGAGCCUGCUUCAGAUUCUGUGUCUCCCUCUCUCUCUGCCCCUCCUCCACUCAUGCUCUGUCUCUGUCUCUCAAAAAUAAAUACACAUUAAAAGUUUUUGAAAACCACAUUAAAUAAAGGUGGAAGAGUGGGUGUCACCGUUAAAGCUGCAGGAUACUGGUCCGUAGUGUAGCCCAGGAUGCACUUGAGAGGGCCCUCUGAUGCCUGCUUCACCGUCUUUUUGAUGUUAUCCUAUUUG